AUUUAAUAAUAGGAAAAUUCUCUUUCUUCUUUUCUGAAGAUAUAAAGUAAAUAGAAAAAAUAUUCGAAGUGUCUUUCUUGCUUUGACCUGCGAAAUAUUCUGGUUUUUUUAUCUGAAGGAAAAAGAAAUAUAACAAAAAAUGGCAAAAGGGAAAUAAAAGAAAGAUGGCGAGAAAAAAUAAAGUAUAAAAUAAUAAAGUAUAGGAUACUAUAGCAAUUUAAUGCACAUAGAAAUUAGAAGAAUACGUAAAAAUAUUGAUUUUUAGAAAUCUCAUGAACAAGAUCCAAGAAUAAGAUUAGUUUGAUAGAAUGAGAGAAGUAAGUCUGAGGAUCAACUAGUAAGGAGAGGGGGAUCACUUAUUCCUUGAACAGUUCUUUCAAAAAAUUAAUCUAUCUGAUUGAUGAGUCAUAAAAAAAUUCAUGAUUCGUGCGGUUAUUAAGACUAUAAGAAGGAAUAACCGCGAAUUGAAUUCAUGAAUUUACCUAAAUCGGGUUAUAGACCGAUAAAGAAUUUUUUUCUUCGAAACCCAUUAGAAAAGAAAUUAGAAGGGGCAGUGUACGAAAAAUCAAAUCAUACAUAAAUGAUAGAAGUUUCAAAGGCCCUGAAAAUGCUAUGAGGUGUUCGGAAAUGGUUGAAGUAGUUGAAUAGGAGGAUCACUAUGACUAUAGCCCUUGGUAAAUUUACCAAAGACGAAAAUGAUUUAUUUGAUAUUAUGGAUGACUGGUUACGGAGGGACCGUUUCGUUUUUGUAGGUUGGUCCGGUCUAUUGCUCUUUCCUUGUGCCUAUUUCGCCGUAGGGGGUUGGUUCACAGGUACAACCUUUGUAACCUCAUGGUAUACCCAUGGAUUGGCGAGUUCCUAUUUGGAAGGCUGCAACUUCUUAACCGCCGCAGUUUCUACUCCUGCUAAUAGUUUAGCACAUUCUUUGUUAUUAUUAUGGGGCCG
rnacentral:misc_RNA from 1 species